GCAGGACGGGACAAGGAUCAGAGCCUUCCUGCAACCCCGGCCACUGCCUGCUGUCUGUGGGCCUGGACUGUGCGGGCAACUGUGCUUGGCCCGAGUGACAAGGAGAUGGGGACAUCACACUGGGAGGCCUGUUCCCGGUGCAUGGCCGGGGCUCAGAGGGCAAGCCCUGUGGAGAACUUAAGAAGGAAAAGGGCAUCCACCGGCUGGAGGCCAUGCUCUUCGCCCUGGAUCGCAUCAACAACGACCCGGACCUGCUGCCUAACAUCACGCUGGGCGCCCGCAUUCUGGACACCUGCUCCAGGGACACCCAUGCCCUCGAGCAGUCGCUGACCUUUGUGCAGGCGCUCAUCGAGAAGGAUGGCACAGAGGUCCGCUGUGGCAGUGGCGGCCCACCCAUCAUCACCAAGCCUGAACGUGUGGUGGGUGUCAUCGGUGCUUCAGGGAGCUCGGUCUCCAUCAUGGUGGCCAACAUCCUUCGCCUCUUCAAGAUACCCCAGAUCAGCUACGCCUCCACAGCGCCAGACCUGAGUGACAACAGCCGCUACGACUUCUUCUCCCGCGUGGUGCCCUCGGACACGUACCAGGCCCAGGCCAUGGUGGACAUCGUCCGUGCCCUCAAGUGGAACUAUGUGUCCACGGUGGCCUCGGAGGGCAGCUAUGGUGAGAGCGGUGUGGAGGCCUUCAUCCAGAAGUCCCGUGAGGACGGUGAGUCAAACGCCUGGCCGCAGAGUCAUGCCAGGCUCGGGGGUGUCCCGGCACAGUGACUGACCCACCAGGAGCUCCCAGCCGGGGCCUGAUACAGGCUCUGACUGCCUGGCUGUUGCCAGGUGGGCCUCGGCCUCUUCUUUGAGCACUGUGGUUUGGUCCAUGGCCUCACUGGGCUCUGGGUGACUCCGGUCAAUGGCGACUGUGAGGCCUUUGCAGACGUGGGUGUGCAGAUGAGGGGACUGUUGACCUCCCUGGUGCGGGAGCCUGCGGGGCGGCCGCUCUCCUCACAGCAGAGG
rnacentral:sRNA from 1 species